UCGAGGAUAUUUAGCAAUGGACGAAAGUCUGACUAUGCGACGCCGCGUGAGGGAUGAAGGAUUUCGGUUCGUAAACCUCUUUUGGCAGGGAAGAAAAGCUACUUUUAACUGAAGUAGAAAUGACGGUACCUGCAGAAUCAGCCACGGCUAACUCCGUGCCAGCAGCCGCGGUAAUACGGAGGUGGCAAGCGUUACUCGGAAUUAUUGGGUGUAAAGGGCAAGUAGGCGGUUUAGUGUGUGGGGGGUGAAAUACUCCGGCUCAAUCGGAGAACAGCCUUCCAAACUGCUAGACUUGAGUAUGACAGAGGAAAAUGGAAUUCUAGGUGUAAGGGUGAAAUCUGUAGAUAUCUAGAAGAACACCAGCUGCGAAGGCGAUUUUCUGGGUCAUUACUGACGCUAAAUUGCGAAAGCUAGGGGAGCAAACAGA
rnacentral:rRNA from 1 species